UCAACCUUCAUAAUUUCCAUUGUCUACGGAAUCCACUUAUAAAUAGCAUAUCAGUUAACACACAACUCACUUCACUCUAGCAAGAACCACACCCGUGCAGAGAAAGGUAAAUAAACUUCACUUCUUAUGCACUUCCUUAACAGCUUCUCAUUCAAUAACCUUAUUCUUGAAUCAUUCUCGCAGCCAACACAAAACCAAUCGAACUCCAGAACAACAACGAAAAUCAGAAAGCUUUCUUCAAGGUCAAGUGUGGGAGUCGGUGCUAUCGGGAGAAUCACUGCCUUAGUAGCGAAACUCUACAACAGGUUGAGCAGUGAUGAGUGAUGAUGGGGUGUCGUGCGGAGCUUUGUCAUAUUUACUAAAUAAACUCUUGGCGAUACAUGUCUUCAUACAUGUAUCACGUUCUCAUUUCCGCUGCGAACACUCAGUUAUGAUGUAG